UCUGGUUGAUCCUGCCAGUAGUCAUAUGCUUGUCUCAAAGAUUAAGCCAUGCAUGUCUAAGUACGGCUCUAGUACGGUGAAACUGCGAAUGGCUCAUUAAAUCAGUUUUGGUUCAUUUGAUCGUAAAAGUUUACAUGGAUAACUGUUGUAAUUCAAGAGCUAAUACAUGCUAAGAGCGUCGCUCUCUGGGUGACGUGCUUUUAUCAGAACAAAACCAAUCACCCUCGGGUGUUCCAAUGUGGCGAGUCAGGAUAAUUUAGCUGAUCGCAUGGUCUUAGAACCGGCGAUGGAUCAUUCAAGUGUCUGACCUAUCAACUGUCGAUGGUAGCGUAUUGGUCUACCAUGGUUGUAACGGGUAACGGAGAAUUAGGGUUUGGUUCCGGAGAGGGAGCCUGAGAAACGGCUACCACAUCUAAGGAAGGCAGCAGGCGCGCAAAUUACCCAUUCCCGACUCGGGGAGGUAGUGACGAAAAAUAACAAUUCAAGACUCUAAACGAGGCCUUGAAGUUGGAAUGAGUACACUUUAAAAUUUUUAACGAGUAUCUAUUGGAGGGCAAGUCUGGUGCCAGCAGCCGCGGUAAUUCCAGCUCCAAUAGCGUAUACUAAAGUUGUUGCGGUUAAAAAGCUCGUAGUUGGAUCUUGGAGCGUGUGCUUGCGGUCACACCUAUGGUGUGCACUGCUUGACGUGUUCUUCUAUUUGGUUGCGCGUGUGUGUUCUCUUAGUUGAGUGCCGCACUCGACCGAAACGUUUACCUUGAAAAAAUUAGAGUGUUCAAAGCAGACCUGUUUGUGUCUGAAUAUUCGUGCAUGGAAUAAUGAAAUAUGAAUUCGGUUCUAUUUUGUUGGUUUUCGGAACUCGAGUUAAUGAUUAAGAGGGACAGACGGGGGUAUUAGUACUCUGCCGUUAGAGGUGAAAUUCUUGGAUCGGCGGAAGACUCGCAACUGCGAAAGCAUUUGCCAAGAAUGUUUUCUUUAAUCAAGAACGAUAGUCGGAGGUUCGAAGACGAUCAGAUACCGUCCUAGUUUCGACUGUAAACUAUGCCAGCUAACGAUCAGACAGCGUUCUCUACGACUUGUCUGGCAGUUUCCGGGAAACCAAAGCUUUUGGGUUCCGGGGGAAGUAUGGUUGCAAAGCUGAAACUUAAAGGAA
rnacentral:rRNA from 1 species